GACGAACGCUGGCGGCGUGCUUAACACAUGCAAGUCGAACGCUGAAGCUCAGCUUUUGUUGGGUGGAUGAGUGGCGAACGGGUGAGUAACGCGUGAGUAACCUGCCCCCUUCUUUGGGAUAACGCCCGGAAACGGGUGCUAAUACUGGAUAUUCACUGGUCUUCGCAUGGGGGUUGGUGGAAAGGGUUUUUCUGGUGGGGGAUGGGCUCGCGGCCUAUCAGCUUGUUGGUGGGGUGAUGGCCUACCAAGGCUUUGACGGGUAGCCGGCCUGAGAGGGUGACCGGUCACAUUGGGACUGAGAUACGGCCCAGACUCCUACGGGAGGCAGCAGUGGGGAAUAUUGCACAAUGGGCGCAAGCCUGAUGCAGCGACGCCGCGUGAGGGAUGGAGGCCUUCGGGUUGUGAACCUCUUUCGCUCAUGGUCAAGCCGCAACAAUGGUUGUGGUGAGGGUAGUGGGUAAAGAAGCGCCGGCUAACUACGUG
rnacentral:rRNA from 1 species